UGCUUCUGCGGGCUUGCUGGA
rnacentral:misc_RNA from 1 species